rnacentral:rRNA from 1 species
GACGAACUUUGGCGGCGUGCUUAACACAUGCAAGUCGAACGGAAAGGCCCUGCUUUUGUGGGGUGCUCGAGUGGCGAACGGGUGAGUAACACGUGAGUAACCUGCCCUUGACUUUGGGAUAACUUCAGGAAACUGGGGCUAAUACCGGAUAGGAGCUCCUGCUGCAUGGUGGGGGUUGGAAAGUUUCGGCGGUUGGGGAUGGACUCGCGGCUUAUCAGCUUGUUGGUGGGGUAGUGGCUUACCAAGGCUUUGACGGGUAGCCGGCCUGAGAGGGUGACCGGCCACAUUGGGACUGAGAUACGGCCCAGACUCCUACGGGAGGCAGCAGUGGGGAAUAUUGCACAAUGGGCGGAAGCCUGAUGCAGCAACGCCGCGUGCGGGAUGACGGCCUUCGGGUUGUAAACCGCUUUCGCCUGUGACGAAGCGUGAGUGACGGUAAUGGGUAAAGAAGCACCGGCUAACUACGUGCCAGCAGCCGCGGUGAUACGUAGGGUGCGAGCGUUGUCCGGAUUUAUUGGGCGUAAAGGGCUCGUAGGUGGUUGAUCGCGUCGGAAGUGUAAUCUUGGGGCUUAACCCUGAGCGUGCUUUCGAUACGGGUUGACUUGAGGAAGGUAGGGGAGAAUGGAAUUCCUGGUGGAGCGGUGGAAUGCGCAGAUAUCAGGAGGAACACCAGUGGCGAAGGCGGUUCUCUGGGCCUUUCCUGACGCUGAGGAGCGAAAGCGUGGGGAGCGAACAGGCUUAGAUACCCUGGUAGUCCACGCUGUAAACGGUGGGUACUAGGUGUGGGGUCCAUUCCACGGGUUCCGUGCCGUAGCUAACGCUUUAAGUACCCCGCCUGGGGAGUACGGCCGCAAGGCUAAAACUCAAAGGAAUUGACGGGGCCCCGCACAAGCGGCGGAGCAUGCGGAUUAAUUCGAUGCAACGCGUAGAACCUUACCUGGGUUUGACAUGGAUCGGGAGCGCUCAGAGAUGGGUGUGCCUCUUUUGGGGUCGGUUCACAGGUGGUGCAUGGCUGUCGUCAGCUCGUGUCGUGAGAUGUUGGGUUAAGUCCCGCAACGAGCGCAGCCCUUGUUCACUGUUGCCAGCACGUUAUGGUGGGGACUCAGUGGAGACCGCCGGGGUCAACUCGGAGGAAGGUGGGGAUGACGUCAAGUCAUCAUGCCCCUUAUGUCCAGGGCUUCACGCAUGCUACAAUGGCUGGUACAGAGAGUGGCGAGCCUGUGAGGGUGAGCGAAUCUCGGAAAGCCGGUCUCAGUUCGGAUUGGGGUCUGCAACUCGACCUCAUGAAGUCGGAGUCGCUAGUAAUCGCAGAUCAGCAACGCUGCGGUGAAUACGUUCCCGGGGCU